GACGAACGCUGGCGGCGUGCUUAACACAUGCAAGUCGAACGGAAAGGCCCUGCGUUUGUGGGGUGCUCGAGAGGCGAACGGGUGAGUAACACGUGAGUAACAUGCCCUUGACUGUGGGAUAACUUCAGGAAACUGGGGCUAAUACAGGAUAGGAGCUCCUGCUGCAUGGUGGUGGUUGGAAAGUUGCGGCGGUAUGGGCUGGUUUAGAGGCUUAUCGGCUUGUUGGUGGGGUAGUGGCGUACAAAGCCUUUGACGGGUAGCCGGCCUGAGAGGGUGACCGGCCACAUGACGCCUACGGUAGGGCCCAGACUGCUACGGGAGGCAGCAGGGGGAAGCCUUGCGCAGUGGGGGGGAGUCAGUUGUAGCAAUGCCGCGUGCGUGAUGCCGGCUUUCUGGGUGAAAACCGCUUUGUCCUGUACCGAGGCGAGCUUGACGGUAAUGGGUAAGGAAGCACCGGCUAACUACGUG
rnacentral:rRNA from 1 species